CGUGGUUAGCAAACACAUCACCAAAUCGACUGACAACCCACACACCGGCGGGAGCGGGUGCCUGCGUUCCGUGCCGCUGUCGCUGUUCCGGGGUUUGUGCAGCCCCGUCGAAUUCGGUGUUGCUAUCUGGCGUUUUCUGCCGGUGUCUAAAAUAGCAUCAGGAACGUUCCCUGUUGAUUUCCCCGGCAGUGCUUGCUGAGCGAUGCCGGGGACCACAGCUCCCGCAACCUGCCUCCACGCAGCACAUUAAAAACAUUUUCUUGCCUUCUGCCUCCAAAGGAGGUGGAGAGGGGAGGAAAAAGCCCUGUAGAUGUUUUUCUGCCCAACUACCAGCAAAUCCUGACCUGAGCUAAUUCUGCUAUGGCUGAAAGCAGAGGAUGUCUGCAAUGCAUGAAGCUGAUUUGCUGACUUACCCUUCAUCUCUCCCAGGAAUGCCAGGUGAAGAAGCCGGCCUCUCACUCCAGGAAAGAGCCACAAGAAGCCCAGCAGCAGCCACUGCAGAGCCUGCUCAGAAGUUCGCUCCCUCUGUCACAGUGUGUGCAGCUUGCCAGCAAAACAGGAUUUCAACCAUAAUUUUCUGGACCACUGGAAGCUCCGUGGGGAUUCCAGGCUGUGUUCAGCAGAGGGCAGUGGUUGGUUUGGUCACUGCUUGGCUAGCAGCAUCAGACCAUGGACUUGGCCAUUUGCUGAAAUCAUUCUGCUGCAGAAAAUCCAAAAAAAGCUGCAGAAAAGGAUGGUGCAAGCAGAUCCUCUCUGCUUUGCAUCCGUGUAAUGCAGAGGUAAUGGUGGGUUACUGAAGUCUCUUGGGGAAAUUCAGCAAACUUCCCUCUUCCCAUCCCAUAUGAGUUUAUAUAUCUAAAAGAGUGUUUUCAAGGAAAAGGAUUAUGAUUUCUUGACCUUGUUUAAAUCUUCAGAUUUACUGCUGUUUUUUUGAGAAGUUUGGCCAUUUAUUAUCCAGGAGUAUUUAAUUAAAAUAAAUAAAAAGAAAGCUUAAACCUGCUGUGUGUGUUUAUAGAAUUUCCCUAAACAGUAAUUGUAACCAGUACUGUUCAUAUGAGCAAAGGUUACAAUGCGGUGUCUUGUCAUUGGAGCAUCCUGUUCCCGUGGGAAGGGAGGAGACGCAGG
rnacentral:lncRNA from 13 species